rnacentral:rRNA from 1 species
UACAGAGGUGCCAAGCGUUAGGCGGAAUCACUGGGCUUAAAGCGCGUGUAGGUGGACGGGUAAGUAUCUUGUGAAAUCCCACGGCUCAACCGUGGAACUGCUGGAUAUACUGCUUGUCUUGAGGCACUUAGGGGCAGCUGGAACAAAUGGUGGAGCGGUGAAAUGCGUAGAUAUCAUUUGGAACGCCAAAGGCGAAAGCAGGCUGCUGGGAGUGAUCUGACACUGAGACGCGAAAGCCAGGGGAGCAAACGGGAGUAGAAUAUCCCAUAGUACGUCC